GGACAGUCUACAGUCUGGUAAUAUAAAUAAUAUUUAGCUAAGAACACUUCCUCAAAUGAGUUUCCAUUAGACAUGCGAUUACCCACAACAUAUUCAAUUCGAAUGUUCAAUUUUUCAUACUUUAUCAUACCUCCAGCAUACCUUUAGAAUUACCUCUGUCAUCGUCGGGACUAGGUACGAAGAUCGGACAAGCGAUGGACGCAAAUGGAAGCAACCAACGAUGCGCUGAUUGGAGGCCA
rnacentral:lncRNA from 1 species